rnacentral:rRNA from 1 species
AGCGAACGCUAGCGGCGGGCCUAACACAUGCAAGUCGAGCGGAGGGAGCAAUCCUUCAGCGGCGGACGGGUGAGUAACGCGUAGGUAAUGUACCUUCUGGUGGGGAAUAACCGUGGGAAACCAUGGCUAAUACCGCAUAUCGUCCUUACGGGAUGAAAGCCUUCGGGCGCCAGAAGAGCAGCCUGCGUCCCAUUAUUUAGUCCUAGUUGGUGAGGUAACGGCUCACCAAGGGUACGAUGGGUAGCUGGUCUGAGAGGAUGAUCAGCCACACUGGAACUGAGACACGGUCCAGACUCCUACGGGAGGCAGCAGUGGGGGAAUAUUGUGCAAUGGGCGAAAGCCUGACGCAGCCACGCCGCGUGAGUGAUGAAGGCCUUCGGG